rnacentral:tRNA from 1 species
GUUGUUUUGGCAGAAAAUUGUAAUAGAUUUAGAAUCUUUUUAUAUAAGUUUUAAACUUAUAAACAAUA